UACGAAGGGGGCUAGCGUUGCUCGGAAUUACUGGGCGUAAAGCGCACGUAGGCGGUCUUUUAAGUCGGGGGUGAAAUCCUGGAGCUCAACUCCAGAACUGCCUUCGAUACUGGAAGACUUGAGUCCGGGAGAGGUGAGUGGAACUGCGAGUGUAGAGGUGAAAUUCGUAGAUAUUCGCAAGAACACCAGUGGCGAAGGCGGCGCGCUGGCCCGGUACUGACGCUGAGGUGCGAAAGCGUGGGGAGCAAACAGG
rnacentral:rRNA from 1 species